UUGAAAGGGAAACGAUUGAAGUCAGUCGUACCAGCGGGAAAUCAACCUUUCGAGUGGUGUUUUGGAGUUUUGAAGUGUGUCAAAACCUUUGAGAUUUUAAAAUUUUCGCUCUUUUGGUGUACUUUCUCGUGGGUAGGUUAACAUCGAUUUUGAUCAUCAUAAAAAGACUGGAGGAAUGUAGCUUCGAUCUUGUAUUGAAGUGUUAUAGCCUUUGGUAAAUGUGAUGAUUGGGAUCGAGGAUUGCAACGAAUACCCUUUUGGGCUAUCCGCCUGAUCUCUGAUACGUGGCCUUGGCAUCGAAAGCUUGCUUAUGGUAUCAAGGUAUUACGGUCAAAAGGUUAGAACGGAUUACAUUCGUUAAGGAUGUUGACGUA
rnacentral:rRNA from 1 species